GAUGAACGCUGGCGGCGUGCCUAAUACAUGCAAGUCGAGCGAACAGACGAGGAGCUUGCUCCUCUGACGUUAGCGGCGGACGGGUGAGUAACACGUGGAUAACCUACCUAUAAGACUGGGAUAACUUCGGGAAACCGGAGCUAAUACCGGAUAAUAUAUUGAACCGCAUGGUUCAAUAGUGAAAGACGGUUUUGCUGUCACUUAUAGAUGGAUCCGCGCCGCAUUAGCUAGUUGGUAAGGUAACGGCUUACCAAGGCAACGAUGCGUAGCCGACCUAAGAGGGUGAUCGGCCACGCUGGAACUGAGACACGGUCCAUACUCCUACGGGAGGCAGCAGUAGGGAAUCUUCCGCAAUGGGCGAAAGCCUGACGGAGCAACGCCGCGUGAGUGAUGAAGGUCUUCGGAUCGUAAAACUCUGUUAUUAGGGAAGAACAAAUGUGUAAGUAACUAUGCACGUCUUUACGGUACCUAAUCAGAAAGCCACGGCUAACUACGUG
rnacentral:rRNA from 1 species